GAUGAAGAACGUAGCGAAAUGCGAUAAGUAAUGUGAAUUGCAGAAUUCAGUGAAUCAUCGAAUCUUUGAACGCACAUUGCGCCCGCCAGUAUUCUGGCGGGCAUGCCUGUUCGAGCGUCAUUACAACCCUCAGGCCCCCGGGCCUGGCGUUGGGGAUCGGCGGAGCCCCCCGUGGGCACACGCCGUCCCCCAAAUGCAGUGGCGGUCCCGCCGCAGCUUCCAUCGCGUAGUAGCUAACACCUCGCGACUGGAGAGCGGCGCGGCCACGCCGUAAAACACCCACCUCUUCUGAAGUUGACCUCGAAUCAGGUAGGAAUACCCGCUGAACUUAAGCAUAUCAAUAAGCGGAGGA
rnacentral:misc_RNA from 1 species